rnacentral:rRNA from 1 species
GAUGAACGCUGGCGGCGUGCCUAAUACAUGCAAGUCGAGCGAACGGACGAGAAGCUUGCUUCUCUGAUGUUAGCGGCGGACGGGUGAGUAACACGUGGAUAACCUACCUAUAAGACUGGGAUAACUUCGGGAAACCGGAGCUAAUACCGGAUAAUAUUUUGAACCGCAUGGUUCAAAAGUGAAAGACGGUCUUGCUGUCACUUAUAGAUGGAUCCGCGCUGCAUUAGCUAGUUGGUAAGGUAACGGCUUACCAAGGCAACGAUGCAUAGCCGACCUGAGAGGGUGAUCGGCCACACUGGAACUGAGACACGGUCCAGACUCCCACGGGAGGCAGCAGUAGGGAAUCUUCCGCAAUGGGCGAAAGCCUGACGGAGCAACGCCGCGUGAGUGAUGAAGGUCUUCGGAUCGUAAAACUCUGUUAUUAGGGAAGAACAUAUGUGUAAGUAACUGUGCACAUCUUGACGGUACCUAAUCAGAAAGCCACGGCUAACUACGUGCCAGCAGCCGCGGUAAUACGUAGGUGGCAAGCGUUAUCCGGAAUUAUUGGGCGUAAAGCGCGCGUAGGCGGUUUUGUAAGUCUGAUGUGAAAGCCCACGGCUCAACCGUGGAGGGUCAUUGGAAACUGGAAAACUUGAGUGCAGAAGAGGAAAGUGGAAUUCCAUGUGUAGCGGUGAAAUGCGCAGAGAUAUGGAGGAACACCAGUGGCGAAGGCGACUUUCUGGUCUGUAACUGACGCUGAUGUGCGAAAGCGUGGGGAUCAAACAGGAUUAGAUACCCUGGUAGUCCACGCCGUAAACGAUGAGUGCUAAGUGUUAGGGGGUUUCCGCCCCUUAGUGCUGCAGCUAACGCAUUAAGCACUCCGCCUGGGGAGUACGACCGCAAGGUUGAAACUCAAAGGAAUUGACGGGGACCCGCACAAGCGGUGGAGCAUGUGGUUUAAUUCGAAGCAACGCGAAGAACCUUACCAAAUCUUGACAUCCUUUGACAACUCUAGAGAUAGAGCCUUCCCCUUCGGGGGACAAAGUGACAGGUGGUGCAUGGUUGUCGUCAGCUCGUGUCGUGAGAUGUUGGGUUAAGUCCCGCAACGAGCGCAACCCUUAAGCUUAGUUGCCAUCAUUAAGUUGGGCACUCUAAGUUGACUGCCGGUGACAAACCGGAGGAAGGUGGGGAUGACGUCAAAUCAUCAUGCCCCUUAUGAUUUGGGCUACACACGUGCUACAAUGGACAAUACAAAGGGCAGCGAAACCGCGAGGUCAAGCAAAUCCCAUAAAGUUGUUCUCAGUUCGGAUUGUAGUCUGCAACUCGACUACAUGAAGCUGGAAUCGCUAGUAAUCGUAGAUCAGCAUGCUACGGUGAAUACGUUCCCGGGUCU